rnacentral:piRNA from 1 species
GGAACCACAUCAGUAGGACCUAGAUUCUGC